rnacentral:rRNA from 1 species
GAUGAACGCUGGCGGCGUGCUUAACACAUGCAAGUCGAACGAUGAAGCCCAGCUUGCUGGGUGGAUUAGUGGCGAACGGGUGAGUAACACGUGAGUAACCUGCCCUUGGCUCUGGGAUAAGCCUGGGAAACUGGGUCUAAUACUGGAUAUGACUUCUCAUCGCAUGGUGGGGGGUGGAAAGAUUUAUUGGUCUUGGAUGGACUCGCGGCCUAUCAGCUUGUUGGUGAGGUAAUGGCUCACCAAGGCGACGACGGGUAGCCGGCCUGAGAGGGUGACCGGCCACACUGGGACUGAGACACGGCCCAGACUCCUACGGGAGGCAGCAGUGGGGAAUAUUGCACAAUGGGCGCAAGCCUGAUGCAGCGACGCCGCGUGAGGGAUGACGGCCUUCGGGUUGUAAACCUCUUUCAGUAGGGAAGAAGCGAGAGUGACGGUACCUGCAGAAGAAGCGCCGGCUAACUACGUG